rnacentral:tRNA from 1 species
GUCGGAGUGGCUCAGCUUGGUUAGAGCGCCUGACUCAUAAUCAGGAGGUCGCGGGCUCAAAUCCCGCCUCCGACA